AACGCACAUUGCGCCCGCCGGCAUUCCGGCGGGCAUGCCUGUUCGAGCGUCAUUUCAACCCUCAGGCACCGCCUGGUGUUGGGUCGCCACCGCAAGGUGGGCCCCGAAAUUCAGCGGCGAGCGUCCCCUGGACCCGAGCGUAGUAACACAUCUCGCUUAGGGCGCCGGGGGCGGUUCCAGCCGUUAAACCCCAUAUCUCAAGGUUGACCUCGAAUCAGGUAGGAAUACCCGCUGAACUUAA
rnacentral:misc_RNA from 1 species